GAGGGUAGAGCUCAGUGGUAGAGUGCAUGCCUAGCAAGCAUGAGGUCCUGGGUUGAAUCCCUGGUACUUCUA
rnacentral:tRNA from 1 species